GAUAAUGGCCGGGUGGAAGCGCAGCGAAGAAACUCUGUGUGGAUAUCAGCAGACCUGUCCCCCUGGAUAUUAAGAACUACAGGUUUUAUUCAGAGCUGGGAAAAGGAGGCUUUGGCCGGGUGAUGUUGGCUUCGUUUACA